rnacentral:rRNA from 1 species
GUCCACGCUGUAAACGAUGGAUACUAGCUGUUCGGAGCAAUCUGAGUGGCUAAGCGAAGUGAUAAGUAUCCCACCUGGGGAGUACGAACGCAAGUUUGAACUCAAGGAAUUGACGGGCCGGCACAAGCGGUGGAGCAUGUGGUUUAAUUCGAUGAUACGCGAGGAACCUUACCAAGGCUUAAAUGUAGAUUGACCGAUUUGGAAACAGAUCUUUCGCAAGACAAUUUACAAGGUGCUGCAUGGUUGUCGU